rnacentral:lncRNA from 1 species
CAGGGUCAUCUCCAAAAAAUCCUUGCCUAGACCAAUGUCAUGGAGUUUUCCUCCUAUGUUUUCUUCUAGCAGUUCUUUAAUUUCAGGUAUUAUGUUUAAAUAUCUAAUCCAUUUCGAGUUAAUUUUUUUCUACGAUGUGAGAUCAGGAUCUAAUUUUAUUCCUCUACAUGUGGAUAUCCAAUUUCCCCAGCACAACUUAGUUUUUAAAAUUGUCCUUUCCCUAUUGUGUGUUCUUGUCAUUUUUGUAGAAAAUACAGAAUUAUCUACAAUAGCCAAGAAGUGGAAGCAACCCAAGUGUCCACCAAACGACAGAUGGAUAAAGAAAAUGAGGGACAAAAUGGCAGCAGCCAGCCUGACCAUUCCCUUCCCAUCAUGAGGGAGAGGGCUGUGGUAUGGACAGCAGCAGCUGACUGGCCACAGGUGCAGCCACUGCCAUCCAGCCCCGACUCAUUCCUAGAAUAAGAACCACCAGACUGCCCUCUGACACCUGCCUCAGCGGUCCCCACCACUCCUCAAACCCUGUCACCGUCCACAGACAAGCCCUGGAGGGGUGGGGAAAAGGUGGGGCUCUGGGGCUUCUUUUUCAGAGAUGGGAGGUGCACAGGCUGGGGAGGAACCCCCAGAGUAUGCAAUCUUUUAGGACUGGCUUCUUUCACUUAGCAGUAUGCAUUUAAGAUUUUUUAUUGUUGUUGUUUGGGGUUUUGUUGUUGCUGUUGUUGUUCUUGUUGUUUCUUUUGGUUGUUGUUGUUGUUGUUUUGAGACAGGGUCUCACUCUAUCGCCCAGGCUGAAGUGCAGUGGUGCAAUUAGGCUCACUGCAACUUCUACCUCCCAAGUUUAAGCCAUUCUCGUGCCUCAACCUCCACAGGAGCUGGGAUUAUAGGUGCGCACCACCAUGCCUGGCUACAUUUAAGGUUUAUACAUAUAUAUAUUUUGUGUGUGUGUGUGUGUGUGUGUGGCUUGAUAGCUUACUUUUUAACUUCUGAAUAGUAUUUCAUUGUAUGGAUAUGCCAUAGUUUGUUUAUUCAUUCACCUGUUGAAGUUUUUGGUGAUUAUGAAUAAGGCUGCUAUAAACAUAAGCAUGCAGGGUUUUGUACAGACAAAAGUUUUUAACUCAAUUGUUUAAUUACCUAGGAGCGUAAUUGUGGGACUGGAUUGUAACAUUGUCUUUAGCAUUGUCAGAAACUGCUAAACUGUCUUCUGAGGUUUCAAUGUUAUUUUACAUUUCUAAUAGCAAUGAAUGAGAGUUCCUUUUGCUCUCCAUCUUUGCCAGUAGCUGGUAGUGCCAGUUUUUUGUUUUUAUUUUAGCCAUUCUAAUGGGUGUGUAGUGGUAUUUCAUUAUUGUUUAAUUUGCAAUUUUCUAAUGACGUAUAAUGUUGAGCAUCUUUUCACACGUUUGUCUGCCUCUAAAUGUCUUCUUUGGUAAGGUUUCUGUUCAGAUUUUUUGCCUAUUUCUUAAUUAGGUUGCUUAUUUUCUUUGUUGAGUUUCAAGAGUUGUUUAUAUGUUUUACAAACAAAUUAUUUAUCAGAUAAGGGUUUUGUAUAUAUUUCCUUCUACUUCAUGCCUUGUCUUUUGAUGGUCUUAACAUUGCCUCUCACAGAGCAAAACACUUAAAUUUUAAUAAAGACAACUAUUUUUUUCCCAUGGAUGGUGGUUUUGUGUUACAUUUAAAAACUCACCAAACCCAAGGUCUCCUCGAUUUUCUCCUAUGUUUUCUUCUAGAAG